rnacentral:lncRNA from 1 species
GAAUUCCCCACUCGUCAGCUCCACGCCUUUGCACAUGCUUGCCUCCCGCCUGGGACACGGUCCCUUCACCCUCUCUAGUGCUGCAGACCUCCCGCCUCCAUUGCUUGGCUAACGAGGCACAACCUGGCUGGGUGCCAACUCCUCCCAGCCUGGGCCAGUUGCCAGUCGUCUGUGCUCCCACCGUCCCCUGGGCUGAGCCUGGCGUGGUCAUUGUUUACUUCUCUGCCUCGUUCCCCAGACUGAAUGUCCUGAAGGGAGGGACUUUCAUUUCAGCGAUCAUUGUAUUUUCAACACCCAGCCAGCGACCAGUGAGCCUGCUGAUGGUGAAUAAAUGCUCAUGAGUGAUGACAACAGCCAGCUGAAAGCAGUGCAGCCCUCCUCCCUGCGGGGCAUGCUCUCUGUGGAUGUGCUGGUUUAGUCACACACAUUUUAAGUGUGACGACACCUAUAUAUUCUUAAAUCUGUAAAACAAAGUACACACCACAAUAUCUCGAGAUCUGCCCUUCUCCUUUGACCACUCCACCCCAGCCUGUGACAAGGGGCUGCCAUUUCCCCCUGUGGGGCCAGGGAUGAGUCGGGUAGAGCACCCAGGAGCUGGUGCAGAUGAGAACAAGACCAGUUAGGGGGCAUGUGAGGGAGUGCUGUAGGCACCAAGGCCAGGACUAGGCAAGAAUUUAUUUGGAUUUGUGUCUAGCAGAGACUGGGCGGGACAAGAAGGUGGGCGCAUUUCCCCACUGAAAGAAAGCCAAUCAAGUGAAAAUGAACAAGAACACAAGCUGAGCUCUGUGUCCUGUGUCCCUGAAGGGGUGACUGAGCAGCCUCCGUUCCUGGGUGUAGAGGUGACACCACCACUGUCCAUCCCGGAGCCUCACCCAGGGCAUCAGCAUAGCAUGCUCACACUUUAGGUCCUGUAGACAAAAGUCAUUACAGGCUCCCAGCCAGGAGCGUAGGCUGAGGCCGGAGAGGCUGCGUUUCUCACACACUCCCAGGGGGCGCUGAUGCUGCUGGUCCUGGGACUGCACUAUGAGUGGCGGAAGUCAAACCUGCGCCUGGCAGAAAACAGUAAAUAGGUCAUUUGGCUAAAUCAUUAGCCAGGCUGUUAAUUCUGCAUCCAUUAGGUUGGGUUGUACUAAGUUAGGCCACACUUUUUGUGAGGUAGACCAGUAUUUGUGCAUGACAGGCCCGACAUUUGUGAAAACAUUGCCUUGAAAAUAGUUGGAGAGUUUUAUUUCUCAUGAGUGGAACAUGCUGUCGUCUGAGAGCCUGCUUCAGAGCAGCUGUCUGGGAGCCUCCGGAGUGGGAACCACUUGGCAGAGUAGGUAAAAAAUCCAAAAAGGGUUUCAAGUCUUUGAGUCUGAAACAAAUGGACAAUGUAGAUUCCUUUCUUGAAAUUUUAUGCAGCGUUUUGCAAGGAGCUUAUGAAGCUGAUCAUAGUCCAGAGAUCCUGAAAGGUCCAAUUUGCUUGUCAUUUUUUUUUUUUUUGAGACUGUGUUUUAGUCUGUCACCCAGGUUGGAGCACAGUGGCAUGAUCACAGCUCGCUCACUGCAGACUUGACCUUCCAAACUCAACCAAUCCCUCUGCCUCAGCCUCUGGAGUAGCUAGGACUACAGGUGUGCACCACCACACCCAGCCAAUUUUUGUAUAUUUUUGUAGACACAGGGUUUUGACAUGUUGCCCAGGCUGGUCUCGAACUUCUGAACUCAAGCCAUCCUUCCUCCUCAGCCUCCCAAGGAUCUGCGCUUAUAGGUGUGAGCCACCGUGCCCAGUCUGAUUGUCUAUUUAUAUCCUCCUCUCUCUUUCUAGAAAAGGAUGGGAAGCAGCUUUCUGUCUUCUGUAGUUUUCUCACAGCCUGUGAACCUAUUUGUACACAACUACAGUUAAGCAGGAGACUAGGAAGCUUCAUCAGAAUUUUUUCCUCCUUAAUUUUUUUUUUUUUCCCUCGCCUAGGCUGGAGUACAGUGGAGUGAUCUCAGUUCAUUGCAACCUCUGCCUCCCAGGUUCAAGUGAUUCUCCUGCCUCAGCCUCCUGAGUAGCUGAGAUUAUAGGUGUGCACCACCAUGCCAGGUUAAGUUUUGUAUUUUUAGUAGAGACGGGGUUUUGCCAUGUUACCCAGGCUGGUCUUGAACUCCUGACCUCAGGUGAUCCACCUGCGUUGGCCUCCCAGAGUGCUGGGAUUACAGGGGUGAGCCACUGUGCCCAGCUCCCGUCCUUAAAAGUGUUGUAUUUUCUGAUUAUUAAAUAAAAAUAGAUGUUCAUCGUAGGGGAAAAUGAGACUUUUUACAACUUUUUAUAACCUCCUCAUUCAGAAUCAAUUACUACUGAAGGUUUAGUGCAUUUUCUUUCUUGUUUUUUGUCAUGCAUUGUUAAUAGAUGAUUUUAUAUAAUUUUUUAAAUGUAUAUUUAUUUUUUUAUGGUAAUUUAAGCCUUUCCUCAUGAUUAAAAUUCUUCAUAUACCUCAAUUUCACUAUUGUUUGAUAACAUGUAAGAUUAUACAAUAGAAAAAGGGUUUUUCUUUUUUAACUUUUAAAAAUAAUUUCAAAAGGAUGACUUUUUUUUUUUUUUUUUUAAGAUGGGGUUUCACUCUUGUUGCCCAGGCUGGAGUGCAAUGGUGCAAUCUUGGCUCACUGUAACCUCUGCCUCCUGAGUUCAAGUGAUUAUCCUGCCUCAGCCUCCCCAGUAGCUGGGAUUACAGGUGUGUGCCACUACACCUGGCUAAUUUUGUAUUUUUAGUGGAGACAGAGUUUCACCAUGUUGGCCAGGCUGGUCUCAAACUCCUGACCUCGUGAUCUACCCGCCUCAGCCUCCCAAAGUGCUGGGAUUACAGGUGUGAGCCACUGUGCGUGGAAUUUUUUUUUUUCCCCCCUCAGACGGAGUCUUUCUCUGUCACCCAGGCUGGAGUACAGUGGUGUGAUCUCGGCUCACUGCAACCUCCACUUCCUGGGUUCAAGUGAUUCUCCCGCCUUAGCCUCCUGAGUAGUGGGGACUACAGACAUGCACCACCACACCUGGCUAAUUUUUGUAUUUUUUGGUAGAGAUGGGGUUUUGCCAUGUUGACCAGGCUGGUCUCGAAUCCCUGACCUCAAGCAAUCUUCCCACCUCAGCCUGCCAAAAUGCUGGGAUUACAGGUGUGAGUCACUGUGCCCUACCAAAAGGAGAACAUUUUGGAAAAAAAAAAAAAAAA